rnacentral:lncRNA from 1 species
AUAGAGGCUCCUUCCAAGGGUGACUCGGGGGCACCCCUUGUGUGUGACAACAAAGCUUAUGGAGUUUUGUCCUAUGUAAAAUCCAAGAAGAUUUCUUCAGGGGUCUUCACCAAGGUUGUGUACUUCCUGCCGUGGAUAAGCCAAAACACGGAGCUCCUCUAACAGGUUAACACCUGUGCCCAACCAGCCUGUCUGACCUCAGGCAAGAACCCCAAUGAGUGUGCGUCAAAGGCUGAAAAUCCAUAAUAAAUAACCCCCAAUGUGCAAGUAA